AAAGAAUGCCACAGUGGCUGAAAAUGCUGGUCUGAAGGCCAAAAUCUGUCAUCAAAUUGAGUAUUAAUUUGGAGACUUCAAUUUGCUGUGGGACAAAUUUUUAAAGGAACAGGUUAAACUAAAUGAACGGUGGGUACCUUUGGAGAUAUUGAUAAAAUUCAACAGGUUAAACCAUCUCACAACAGACUUUAAUGUAAUUGUGGAAGCACUGAGGACAUCCAAGGCAGAACUCAUGGAAAUCAGUGAAGAUAAAACUAAAACCAGAAUGUCUCCAAGUAAACCCCUCCUUGAAGUGACCGAUGGGUAUAAAAAUGAUGUAAAAAACAUCUAUUUGUAUCAAAGGCUUCCCAACUGAUGCAACUGUUGAUGACAUAAAAGAAUGAUUAGAAGAUAGAGGUCAAGUACAAAAUGUACCGAUGAGAAGAACAUUGCAUAAAGCAGUUAAAGGAUCAGUGUUUGCUGUGUUUGAUAACAUUAAAUCUGCCAAAAAGUUUGUAGAGACCCCUGGCCAGAAGUACAAAGACACAGCCUACUAAUACUUUUCAAAGAAUAUUACUUUGCUGAAAAAAGUGAAGAAAGCAGACAAAAUAAUAUGGAGGAUAAAUUAAGAGCUAAAGAAGAGCAAGAAGAAAAAUAAAAGCUACAUGAUGCUGAAAUGAAAUCUCUAGAAAAAAAAGACUGGAUGCUUGCUGAAAUUUUUGGGUGACUUAGAUGAUCAGACCUGUAGAGAAGGUUCACACAUCCUUUUCUCAAGUCACGGUGAACUAAAAUGGAUAGACGUUGUCAGAGGUGCAAAAGAGGGAAUAAUUCGAUUUAAAGAAAAAGUCGAGGAAGCAUUGGGUAAAGCCAAAGAUGCAAAUAAUGGUAAUCUACAAUUAACAAAGAAGUGACUUGAGAAGUACUAGAAGGACAGGUGGAAAAAGAAGCAUUGAAAAAAUCAUGAAAGACCAACACGAACCCCUAAACAAAUGGAAGUCAAAAGGUCGCAGAUUUAAAAGGAAAGGUUAAUAAAGCUGCCUCGCCUGAGUUUGUUAAAGGAAAAGUACAGCUUCAGGGUAAGAAAAUGAAAUUUGUUAGUGAUGAUGAACAUGAUGAAAAUGGUGCAACUGGACCAGUGAAAAAGAACAAGAGAAGAAACAGACAAAGAAGAAUCUGCAUCAAAACAACAGAAAACAGAAAAUGAUGCUAGAGACCAAUAG
rnacentral:lncRNA from 10 species